AGAGUUUGAUCAUGGCUCAGGAUGAACGCUAGCGGCAGGCUUAAUACAUGCAAGUUGAGGGGCAGCAUGAUAUACGUAAGUAUAUUGAUGGCGACCGGCGGACGGGUGAGUAAAAGGUAGGAGACCUACCUCAUACAGGGGGAUAGCAUAGAGAAAUCUGUGGUAAUACCCCAUGAGGUUAUAUGAAUAGAGGCAUAUAAUCAAAGUAUACGAGAGUAUGCGGUAUGAGAUGGGCCUACUGACCAUUAGCUAGUUGGUGAGGUAAGGGCUCACCAAGGCGAAGAUGGUUAGGGGUUUUGAGAGAGAGAUCCCCCACAUUGGAACUGAGAUACGGUCCAGACUCCUACGGGAGGCAGCAGUAGGGAAUAUUGGGCAAUGGGCGAAAGCCUGACCCAGCCAUGCCGCGUGAAGGAAGACGGCCUUAUGGGUUGUAAACUUCUUUACUAUACGAAUAGAGGUUAGUACGAGUUACUAAUAGGAAGGUAGUAUAGCAAAAAGCACCGGCUAACUCCGUGCCAGCAGCCGCGGUAAUACGGAGGGUGCAAGCGUUAUUCGGAAUUACUGGGUUUAAAGGGUGCGUAGGCGGUUAUAUAAGUUGUCAGUGAAAGGCUACGGCUCAACUGUAGUAGUGCUGGCGAUACUGUAUAACUAAGAACAUGGGAGGGGUACCUGGAAUGUGUGGUGUAGCGGUGAAAUGCAUAGAUAUCACACAGAACACCGGAGGCGAAGGCGGGGUACUAGACCAUAGUUGACGCUGAGGCACGAAAGCGUGGGGAGCAAACAGGAUUAGAUACCCUGGUAGUCCACGCCCUAAACGAUGAUCACUAGAUAUUGGCGACAUACAGUCAGUGUCCAAGCGAAAGUGAUAAGUGAUCCACCUGGGGAAUACGGCCGCAAGGUUAAAACUCAAAGGAAUUGACGG
rnacentral:rRNA from 1 species